GAACACAGCCUGGUCAAGACCUUGGUUUUAUCCUGGUGGAAAAAAAAAAGAAUCCACCAUCUCCAGGCCUCAGACGAUGGAUUGUACAUGUGUUUUUUAGAAAAGGCAUUGAUUUUGAAGAAGCCAUUGUGGAGCUAAUGGUGAUAGGACCUAAAUGCAGA